rnacentral:rRNA from 1 species
UAUCUGGUUGAUCCUGCCAGUAGUCAUAUGCUUGUCUCAAAGAUUAAGCCAUGCAUGUCUAAGUACAAACCUUAAUACGGUGAAACCGCGAAUGGCUCAUUAAAUCAGCUAUGGUUCCUUAGAUCGUCUCAUCCUACUCGGAUAACUGUGGAAAAUCUAGAGCUAAUACGUGCUUACAAGCCCUGACCUCACGGGAGGGGCGCAUUUAUUAGAUCAAAAACCAAUCGGGCUUGCCCCGUCUGCUUGGUGACUCUGGAUAACUUUUGUGCUGAUCGCAUGGCCUCUGCGCUGGCGACGUAUCUUUCAAGUGUCUGCCCUAUCAACUUACGAUGGUAGGUGAUAUGCCUACCAUGGUUAUAACGGGUAACGGGGAAUCAGGGUUCGAUUCCGGAGAGGGAGCCUGAGAAACGCUACCACAUCUAAGGAAGGCCAGCAGGCGCGCAAAAUUACCCACUCCCGCACGGGAGGUAGUGACGAAAAAUAACGAUACGGGACUCUUUUGAGGCCCCGUAAUUGGAAUGAAGUACACUUUAAUCCGUUAACAAGUAUCUAUUGGAGGGCAAGUCUGGUGCCAGCAGCCGCGUAAUUCCAGCUCAAUAGCGUAUAUUAAUGUUGCUGCAGUUAAAAAGCUCGUAGUUGGAUCUGAGGACUCGAAUUGGUGUGCACCAUACGGUGUUACUGCCGAUUCGGCCUACCUAGUCGGUGCUCGCUCUUGGUGUUCUAAUUGAAUGCCCCUGAGUGCCCGGCAAGUUUUACUUUGAAAAAAUUAGAGUGCUCAAAGCAGGCCAUUAGCCGGAAUACUUCAGCAUGGAAUAAUGGAAUAGGACUUCGGUUCUAUUUUGUUGGUUUUCGAACCCGAGGUAAUGAUUAAGAGAGACAGACGGGGGCAUUCGUACUGCGGUUUAGAGGUGAAAUUCUUGGAUCGCCGCAAGACGAACAAACUGCGAAAGCAUUUGCCAAGAUGUUUUCAUUAAUCAAGAACGAAAGUCAGAGGUUCGAAGACGAUCAGAUACCGUCCUAGUUCUGACCAUAAACGAUGCCAACUGGCGAUCCGAGAUCGUUUGCUUAUUGACCUCUCGGCAGCCUCCGGAAACCAAAGUUUUUUAGGUUCCGGGGAAGUAUGGUUGCAAAGCUGGAAACUGUUCAAUUGCAACUCUGCCUGUGACACCAAGUGGUCGGUUACUU